GCCAGCAUGGGAUAGUGGUUUGAGUGUUGGACUAUGACUCUGGAGACCAGGGUUUGAUUCUCUGCUCAGCCA